rnacentral:misc_RNA from 1 species
UACGGAGGUUCCAAGCGUUGUUCGGAAUUACUGGGCGUAAAGGGGGCGCAGGCGGAUAGGUUAGUGGAAAGUGGAAGCCCGGGGCUCAACCUCGGAAAGCCUUUCCAUACUGCCUAUCUUGAGUUCGUGAGAGGAAAGCGGAAUUCAGGGUGUAGCGGUGAAAUGCUUAGAUAUCCUGAGGAACACCAGUGGCGAAAGCGGCUUUCUAGCACGAAACUGACGCUGAGGCCCGAAAGCGUGGGGAGCAAACAGG